UAUCAAUAUAUCAUACAGAUUCUCGAACACCGAAUUAGUAUAAAUACUAUUAAGUUCUUUAGAUAAAAUAUCAGUGAUCUACAGUCAUUACAUCGAUACACAUCGAGUCUUUUACCAGUUGAGUUACCUCAAAAUCACAUCCAAACAUCCACCAUGUUCAAGAUUUUGUUAUUGGUUGCCGCCGCCCUGGCUUUGGUCGCUGUUGCUUCUUCUCAACUCAUAGUCUACCCUCAUACAUACGCACCGGUAUACACCUACCCAACGUAUCAAUAUACUUACCCAGUAGCUUACAAUCCAUACAUCACUCUUCUUCGUCGUUGAAUACAUUUUCUACUAACUCUGUAACUAUCUGCAAUUCAACGCCAAUCUCAGGAAAAUGAUGACAACUAAAAUGCCUUUAGUACAUUUAUUAUUUGUUAUUUUUUGACUGUUAAUUCUUCUAUCUUCUUGUAAACAUUUAUUUAAUCACAAUGUAAUACUUUUAAAUUUUUUUUCGAAGAACCGUUUAAUGUAAUAUAUAUCGUAAUUUAUUGAAA